rnacentral:rRNA from 1 species
UCUGGUUGAUCCUGCCGGAGGUCAUUGCUAUUGGAGUCCGAUUUAGCCAUGCUAGUCGCGCGGGUUCAGACCCGCGGCAUAUAGCUCAGUAACACGUGGCCAAACUACCCUAUGGACAGGGACAACCUCGGGAAACUGAGGCUAAUCCCUGAUACAGCUCUCACGCUGGAGUGCGGAGAGCUGGAAACGCUCCGGCGCCAUAGGAUGUGGCUGCGGCCGAUUAGGUAGAUGGUGGGGUAACGGCCCACCAUGCCAAUAAUCGGUACAGGUUGUGAGAGCAAGAGCCUGGAGACGGUAUCUGAGACAAGAUACCGGGCCCUACGGGGCGCAGCAGGCGCGAAACCUUUACACUGCACGACAGUGCGAUAAGGGGACUCCGAGUGCGAGGGCAUAUAGCCCUCGCUUUUCUGUACCGUAGGGAGGUACAGGAACAAGUGCUGGGCAAGACCGGUGCCAGCCGCCGCGGUAAUACCGGCAGCACGAGUGAUGACCGAUAUUAUUGGGCCUAAAGCGUCCGUAGCCGGCCAAACAAGUCCGUUGGGAAAUCCACGCGCUCAACGCGUGGGCGUCCGGCGGAAACUGUUUGGCUUGGGGCCGGAAGACCUGAGGGGUACGUCCGGGGUAGGAGUGAAAUCCUGUAAUCCUGGACGGACCACCGUUGGCGAAAGCGCCUCAGGAGGACGGACCCGACGGUGAGGGACGAAAGCUAGGGUCUCGAACCGGAUUAAAUACCCGGGUAGUCCUGGCUGUAAACGAUGCUCGCUAGGUGUGCCACAGGCUACNANCCUGUGCUGCGCCCUAGGGAANCCGAAAANCGAGCCGCCUGGG